GGUGUACGAACUGCUGAUUGGAGGAGACUACCGCGAUGAAAGCACGAGGGUGGGGGCGGUGAAGCAUGAUGUGUCUGUUUAUUUCUCUCUUCUUUCCUUCUCAAGUAAUGUUUACCAUUUGUUUGUAACUUUAUAGUUUGUUUUGGUUUUGUUGUUAUUUUCAUCACUUAAUUUAAGUUGGCGUGGUUUUUUGUAUUCUCAAAGAAGAGAAAAAUG
rnacentral:misc_RNA from 1 species